UACGGAGGAUCCAAGCGUUAUCCGGAAUUACUGGGCGUAAAGAGUUGCGUAGGUGGCAUAGUAAGUUGGUAGUGAAAGCGUGGGGCUCAACCUCAUAACCAUUACCAAAACUGCUAAGCUAGAGGAUGAGAGAGGUCGUUGGAAUUCCUUGUGUAGGAGUGAAAUCCGUAGAUAUAAGGAGGAACACCGAUGGCGUAGGCAGACGACUGGCUCAUUCCUGACACUGAGGCACGAAAGCGUGGGGAGCAAACGGG
rnacentral:rRNA from 1 species